CUUAAUUGCAAAAGUAUUUAAAUGAAAAAAUAGAAAAAGCAUUCAUUCUGUUAUCAUCAUAUCAUAUACAAAAUUCUACCAAAAUUUAGCGAUAGUGACCUCAUUGAAACUAAAUUAAAAAUUAUUUUUAUUGAUAAAAUUUGAAGUUUAUUGACUGCUAAAACUAGAGAUAAAUUCAAGGACCAUGGGUGAAAUUAAGCCCUUGAAAUUAUUUUGAUGGUCUCACAUGCACUGAACUGACUUAAAAUUAGAGAUAGUUUAACUCAUGUUUUCAUGAAUCAAACCAAACCCUAAGCAAACAAUUCAAACCCGUAAAUGUAUCAUUCAUCAAAGUAAUCCACCACAAAAAUAUACACUAUCCAGUUUAUCAAAUAUCACAAACCUUGUUUGCCACCACAAAAAUAUACACUAUCCAGUUUAUCAAAUAUCACAAACCUUGUUUG
rnacentral:misc_RNA from 1 species